rnacentral:rRNA from 1 species
GGGGUGUAAACUCCUUUCGACCGGGAAGAUUAUGACGGUACCGGUGGAAGAAGCCCCGGCUAACUCUGUGCCGCCAGCCGCGGUAAUACAGAGGGUGCGAGCGUUGUUCGGAAUUAUUGGGCGUAAAGGGCGCGUAGGCGGUGGGUCAAGUCCCGUGUGAAACCUCUGGGCUUAACUCAGAGGCUGCAGGCGAAACUGCGCUGCUGGAGGGUGGGAGAGGUGCGUGGAAUUCCCGGUGUAGCGGUGAAAUGCGUACAUAUCGGGAGGAACACCUGUGGCGGAAGCGGCGCACUGGACCACUACUGACGCUGAGGCGCUAAAGCUAAGGGAGCAAACCGGAUUAAAUACCCUGGUAGUCCUACCCCUAAACUAUGAUUGCUUGGUGUGAUCGGUACCCGGUGCUAUCGUGCCGCAGCUAACCCCAUAACCAAUCCGCCUGGGGAGUACGGUCGCGAGGCUGAAACUCAAAGGAAUU